rnacentral:rRNA from 1 species
UACGAAGGGGGCUAGCGUUGUUCGGAAUUACUGGGCGUAAAGCGCACGCAGGCGGGCUGUUAAGUCAGGGGUGAAAUCCCAGGGCUCAACUUCGGAAUUGCCUUUGAUACUGGCGAUCUUGAGUCCGGGAGAGGUGAGUGGAAUUUCUAGUGUAGAGGUGAAAUUCGUAGAUAUUAGGAAGAACACCAGUGGCGAAGGCGGCUCACUGGCCCGGUACUGACGCUCAUGUGCGAAAGCGUGGGGAGCAAACAGG